CAGCAAGACAAAGGAGGCCAUGA
rnacentral:piRNA from 1 species